AAACUAUGAAUUGAACAUUUGCACAAUAACUCCUUAAAAUGCUCCCAAGCCUCAUACAACCUUUCGUCUUCUAUUUGUUUAAAAGAUGUCAAAUCCUUUCGCAGCUU